rnacentral:lncRNA from 1 species
CUCAUAGCACCUUGAGUCACUGCCUCAUGCUGUUAUGACGCCUUUUGCUUCCACCAUUGCCCUAUCAAUUGCCAGCUUUAUAUACAUCUUUGCUCCUCUCUCUCCAACUCUCAGUGUCUGCUCUCCCAUGUUCUAAUCACUCAUUCUCUAUUCUGCAAAGCACUGUUUUCCAGACAUUAAAGUUUCUGACCCUCUUUCAGACUUUCAGCUACCUACUAUUGAUCCUUCAGGAUGCCUUGGGCUGAUUUCUAAGGCAACCAGAAGCAGUCACAA